GUGUCAGCAGCCGCGGUAAUACGGAGGGCGCGAGCGUUAAUCGGAAUCACUGGGCGUAAAGGGCGCGUAGGCGGCCGAUCAAGUCAGAGGUGAAAGCCCUCGGCUCAACCGAGGAAUUGCCUUUGAUACUGGUCGGCUGGAGUGCAGGAGAGGGUGGCGGAAUUCCCGGUGUAGGGGUGAAAUCCGUAGAGAUCGGGAGGAACACCAGUGGCGAAGGCGGCCACCUGGACUGCAACUGACGCUGAGGCGCGAAAGCAUGGGGAGCAAACAGGAUUAGAUACCCUGGUAGUCCAUGCCCUAAACGAUGGACGCUAGGUGUCGGGGGGUCACCCUCGGCGCCGGAGCUAACGCAUUAAGCGUCCCGCCUGGGGAGUACGGUCGCAAGGCUGAA
rnacentral:rRNA from 1 species